rnacentral:rRNA from 1 species
GUGAAAUUGUUGAAAGGGAAGCGCUUGCAACCAGACCUGCCUGCAGUUGCUCAUCCGGGCUUUUGCCCGGUGCACUCUUCUGCUGUCAGGCCAGCAUCGGUUCGGGCGGUCGGAUAAAGGCUUCGGGAAUGUAGCUCCUCUCGAGGAGUGUUAUAGCCCGUUGCGAAAUGCGGCCAGCCUGAACUGAGGUCCGCGCUUCGGCUAGGAUGCUGGCGUAAUGGUUGUAAGCGGCCCGUCUUGAAACACGGACCAAGGAGUCUAACAUCUGUGCGAGUGUUUGGGUGUCAAACCCGUACGCGUAAUGAAAGUGAACGGAGGCGGGAACCCCUCGGGGUGCACCGUCGACCGAUCCUGAUGUCUUCGGAUGGAUUUGAGUAAGAGCAUAGCUGUUGGGACCCGAAAGAUGGUGAACUAUGCCUGAAUAGGGUGAAGCCAGAGGAAACUCUGGUGGAGGCUCGCAGCGGUUCUGACGUGCAAAUCGAUCGUCAAAUUUGGGCAUAGGGGCGAAAGACUAAUCGAACUAUCUAGUAGCUGGUUCCUGCCGAAGUUUCCCUCAGGAUAGCAGUAACGUUUUCAGUUUUAUGAGGUAAAGCGAAUGAUUAGAGGCCUGGGGGUUGAAACAACCUUCACCUAUUCUCAAACUUUAAGUAUGUAAGAAGUCCUUGUUGCUUAGUUGAACGUGGACAUUUGAAUGUAUCGUUACUAGUGGGCCAUUUUU